AAGAAAAACAUAACCUGACAGAUCUGGAACUUCGAGUCAAGACAAUGGCAGAGUCAAUGUCUGUAAUGUCAGAGAAAAACAUCGGUACCACAAUAUUCUCAUCUCGAGCUAUAACUGAUGAUAAUAAGGGCUUAAAUUACCCCCACUACGGUUCUCCGUGGGAGAGAGUUCACUCGCUAAGCGAACAGAUUUCUAUGCUUGAAGAACGGCUCGAGGACUGUACAUGUAACGAACAGCAACGAAGGUCGAAACGAAGACCAAGGUUAUAAGUUAUCCAGAAACAUAAACCAAGCCCACCGGAAGAAAUAAGAAGACUGAACGAAAAUGGACUAGUUGAUCGUAUUGAAUAUGUUCGUAUUUUUCUUCUCUGCAAUGAAAACCUUUUCAGAUGUUUUUACUUCCAGCCUGUAGCAGCCACAUUUCUAACGAUGUGUUAUUCGAUUUAACAUGAUUGGUUGGAGUUACUGGCACGCAUUUAGAAUAAAUUAUGAGGUUGAUCAUUGUCAAUCUUAUUUUUUAUGGU